rnacentral:rRNA from 1 species
CACGUAGUUAGCCGGGCCUUCCUCCGUGGGUACCGUCAGUGCUUCGUCCCCACGAACAGCGGUUUACACUCCGAAAAGCGUCAUCCCGCACGCGGCGUUGCUCCGUCAGGCUUUCGCCCAUUGCGGAAAAUUCCUUGCUGCUGCCUCCCGUAGGAGUCGGGGCCGUGUCUCAGUCCCCGUGUGGCUGGCCAUCCUCUCAGACCAGCUACCGAUCAUCGCCCUGGUAAGCCGUUACCCCACCAGCUAGCUAAUCGGUCGCAGGCUCCUCCGUCGGCGCCCAAAGGCUUUCCUCAUCUCUCCCACUCGAGAGACGAGCUCAUGCGGAAUUACCCCAUGUUUCCACGGGAUACCCCCCACCAACGGGCAGAUUGCCCACGUGUUCCUCACCCGUCCGCCACGUGAGCCGCCCGAAGGCGACCCCGUUCGACUUGCAUGCAUUAGGCACGCCGCCAGCGUUGAUCCUGAGCCAGGACUCAAACUCU